GAUGAACGCUGGCGGCGUGCUUAACACAUGCAAGUCGAACGAAGCACUUUAUUUGAUUUCCUUCGGGACUGAUUAUUUUGUGACUGAGUGGCGGACGGGUGAGUAACGCGUGGGUAACCUGCCUUGUACAGGGGGAUAACAGUUGGAAACGGCUGCUAAUACCGCAUAAGCGCACGGCAUCGCAUGAUGCAGUGUGAAAAACUCCGGUGGUAUAAGAUGGACCCGCGUUGGAUUAGCUAGUUGGUGAGGUAACGGCCCACCAAGGCGACGAUCCAUAGCCGACCUGAGAGGGUGACCGGCCACAUUGGGACUGAGACACGGCCCAAACUCCUACGGGAGGCAGCAGUGGGGAAUAUUGCACAAUGGGCGAAAGCCUGAUGCAGCGACGCCGCGUGAGCGAAGAAGUAUUUCGGUAUGUAAAGCUCUAUCAGCAGGGAAGAUAAUGACGGUACCUGACUAAGAAGCACCGGCUAACUACGUG
rnacentral:rRNA from 1 species